CGAGGUAUAAGUCUGUACUAACCGUGCCAGCGUGAGUGAUGAAAGCCCUAGGGUCGUAAAGCUCUUUCGCCAGGGAUGAUAAUGACAGUACCUGGUAAAGAAACCCCGGCUAACUCCGUG
rnacentral:rRNA from 1 species